rnacentral:rRNA from 1 species
AUUGAACGCUGGCGGCAUGCUUUACACAUGCAAGUCGAACGGUAACAGGCCGCAAGGUGCUGACGAGUGGCGAACGGGUGAGUAAUGCAUCGGAACGUGCCCAGUUGUGGGGGAUAACGCAGCGAAAGCUGCGCUAAUACCGCAUACGAUCUCUGGAUGAGAGCGGGGGACCGAAAGGCCUCGCGCGAUUGGAGCGGCCGAUGUCAGAUUAGGUAGUUGGUGGGGUAAAGGCUCACCAAGCCAACGAUCUGUAGCUGGUCUGAGAGGACGACCAGCCACACUGGGACUGAGACACGGCCCAGACUCCUACGGGAGGCAGCAGUGGGGAAUUUUGGACAAUGGGCGCAAGCCUGAUCCAGCAAUGCCGCGUGCAGGAAGAAGGCCUUCGGGUUGUAAACUGCUUUUGUACGGAACGAAACGGUUCUGGUUAAUACCUGGGGCUAAUGACGGUACCGUAAGAAUAAGCACCGGCUAACUACGUGCCAGCCGCCGCGGUAA